rnacentral:rRNA from 1 species
GAUGAACGCUAGCGGCAGGCUUAAUACAUGCAAGUCGAGGGGCAGCAUGGGUAGCAAUACCUGAUGGCGACCGGCAAACGGGUGCGGAACACGUACGCAACUUUCCCAGAACUGGUGAAUAGCCCUCCGAAAGGAGGAUUAAUACACCGUAAGAUAGAGAUGUGGCAUCACAUUUUUAUUAUAGCUCCGGCGGUUUUGGAUGGGCGUGCGCCUGAUUAGGUAGUUGGCGGGGUAACGGCCCACCAAGCCUACGAUCAGUAACUGGUGUGAGAGCACGACCAGGCACACGGGCACUGAGACACGGGCCCGACUCCUACGGGAGGCAGCAGUAAGGAAUAUUGGUCAAUGGACGCAAGUCUGAGCCAGCCAUGCCGCGUGAAGGAUGAAGGCCCUCUGGGUUGUAAACUUCUUUUAUCUGGGACGAAAAAGGGGCAUUCUUGCUCAACUGACGGUACCAGAGGAAUAAGCACCGGCUAACUCCGUGCCAGCCGCCGCAGUAAAAC